CAUUCCCUGCGGUGUUCGAUUUCAGCAUAUACUCCUUUGAACCAAUACAUUCGCUUUUGGGGGUGAAAGUUUGAUGGGCGUGCGCGUUCCGUGUGAAUGUACCCGAAAUCAGAUGGCACUUACCAACCUUACCGCAAGGUUCAAGCGACUUCCGCUGUAACGGCACUCGCGGGGUGUUU
rnacentral:other from 1 species